GUGGGGAAUUUUGGACAAUGGGCGAAAGCCUGAUCCAGCCAUGCCGCGUGCAGGAUGAAGGCCUUCGGGUUGUAAACUGCUUUUGUACGGAACGAAAAGACUCCUUCUAAUAAAGGGGGUCCAUGACGGUACCGUAAGAAUAAGCACCGGCUAACUACGUGCCAGCAGCCGCGGUAAUACGUAGGGUGCAAGCGUUAAUCGGAAUUACUAGGCGUAAAGCGUGCGCAGGCGGUUAUAUAAGACAGAUGUGAAAUCCCCGGGCUCAACCUGGGAACUGCAUUUGUGACUGUAUAGCUAGAGUACGGUAGAGGGGGAUGGAAUUCCGCGUGUAGCAGUGAAAUGCGUAGAUAUGCGGAGGAACACCGAUGGCGAAGGCAAUCCCCUGGACCUGUACUGACGCUCAUGCACGAAAGCGUGGGGAGCAAACAGGAUUAGAAACCCGGGUAGUCC
rnacentral:rRNA from 1 species